UGUAGUAGCGAGUUUUAAAAGGAAAGGUUUCCGUGUGGAAAACAAUUUUUAAAAGAAUUUUCUGGUUUUCCUGAUUAUUAGUAUUUCAAAACGAGUUUCCGGAUAGGAAACUUUUUAAACUGGUAGAUAUGGAUCUAUGAAUAAUUGUGAUGCAUUAUAAAUGUAAAUGUGAAUGGUGUAUGAAUAUGUGUAUAUUCAUAUGUGGUGGUUGUAUCCUAUAUUAUGUAUAUUGUACUUGUGCGACGCCGUGCAAAUAUAGGGGAGAUUCUGUCCGUAUGAACAGUGGACUCCCUAUAUUUGUGGUGGAUCUGGCAUACCCUAGGGGUCAGGUUUUCAAAAAAAAAAAAUUUGGGCACUUCCGCUUUGAAUUUAUAACAAAAAGGGACCCCGGGGCGUGACAUCAGAUAUCGAAGUA
rnacentral:lncRNA from 1 species